UAUGCAUUACAAAUUGGGCCCUUUUAGUUCUUUGUUUUAAGGCUUAGUUAGUAAGAGACAGGAUCCUGUAUUGUGUCUUAUGUUAAGUAGAUUUGAGGAACAUUGAAGGUUUAAUUUACAAUGUAUUUUUUGCUUGAUAUAAAAAACUGCUGUUUGUAUCCUCAAAGGUCUCUGUAAAAGACUGUUUGUGUGAAUGAGGAAUGCAUGCAUCAGGAAAAGAUAAGGUGUGAAGGCCACUGUUAACCAGAUGGUCAAGAAAGGAGGAGUGAAGACACUUAUAGAGACUUAUUGACGCCAGAGAACCAUCAACGCGCAUCCAUGAUUGAGGAAGGGCAGAUUGAUGACCCUGAGGUGGAGGCUGGCACCCCUAAAGACAACUGAUUAAAUCAAAUCCGGGACAGGAUGACCCUCUCGGAGGUGUUUUGGAAUGUUAACAUCAAAAGAGAACACCAAUUAAGGAGUAACCGGUCAUAAACUGACACAGCAAAAUCCAUAGAUUUCAACAGAGAAAAAGGACUUUAAAAACAGGGUGCUUUGCCAUGGGGCUUUGGGUUCGUCUUGCCACCACUCCAGGAGCAUCGGAUCACGACCGACUGAGCCCGGCUCCCCUCUGCAACCAAUCUGGCUGGCCACUAGAUUGAUCCAGACUCUGGACUGGAAUAAGGACCUACAAGACAGACACUCACGAAGAUGCGAGCCCAAAAUACAGUACAAAGUCUCCCUAUGGGACUAACAGACAUGGGGCAAAGAACCAUCAAUGAAAUAAGAACUUCCCAUCCCGAUCGUUAUGGAAGGACAUUGUAAUACCUGCCGUGAUGGAUACCAAUCUGAAAACCUGCAAAGACAGACAGCAAAACUUUGUCUUACCUGAUCAUCAUACCCCUCGAUCUUCACGGGAGUGAACUGAUCCAUGUUAUAUUGGGCAA